rnacentral:rRNA from 1 species
UGGGGAAUUUUGGACAAUGGGGGAAACCCUGAUCCAGCCAUCCCGCGUGUGCGAUGAAGGCCUUCGGGUUGUAAAGCACUUUUGGCAGGAAAGAAACGUCGCGGGUUAAUACCCCGCGAAACUGACGGUACCUGCAGAAUAAGCACCGGCUAACUACGUGCCAGCAGCCGCGGUAAUACGUAGGGUGCAAGCGUUAAUCGGAAUUACUGGGCGUAAAGCGUGCGCAGGCGGUUCGGAAAGAAAGAUGUGAAAUCCCAGAGCUUAACUUUGGAACUGCAUUUUUAACUACCGGGCUAGAGUGUGUCAGAGGGAGGUGGAAUUCCGCGUGUAGCAGUGAAAUGCGUAGAUAUGCGGAGGAACACCGAUGGCGAAGGCAGCCUCCUGGGAUAACACUGACGCUCAUGCACGAAAGCGUGGGGAGCAAAACAGGAUUAGAUACCCUGGUAGUCCACGCCCUAAACGAUGUCAACUAGCUGUUGGGGGCCUUUCGGGCCUUGGUAGCGCAGCUAACGCGUGAAGUUGACCGCCUGGGGAGUACGGUCGCAAGAUUAAAAACUUAAAGGAA